rnacentral:rRNA from 1 species
GAUGAACGCUGGCGGCGUGCCUAAUACAUGCCAGUCGAGCGAACGGACGAGAAGCUUGCUUCUCUGAUGUUAGCGGCGGACGGGUGAGUAACACGUGGAUAACCUACCUAUAAGACUGGGAUAACUUCGGGAAACCGGAGCUAAUGCCGGAUAAUAUUUUGAACCGCAUGGUUCAAAAGUGAAAGACGGUCUUGCUGUCACUUAUAGAUGGAUCCGCGCUGCAUUAGCUAGUUGGUAAGGUAACGGCUUACCAAGGCAACGAUGCAUAGCCGACCUGAGAGGGUGAUCGGCCACACUGGAACUGAGACACGGUCCAGACUCCUACGGGAGGCAGCAGUAGGGAAUCUUCCGCAAUGGGCGAAAGCCUGACGGAGCAACGCCGCGUGAGUGAUGAAGGUCUUCGGAUCGUAAAACUCUGUUAUUAGGGAAGAACAUAUGUGUAAGUAACUGUGCACAUCUUGACGGUACCUAAUCAGAAAGCCACGGCUAACUACGUG